UGCCAGACUCCUACGGGAGGCAGCAGUGGGGAAUAUUGGACAAUGGGGGGAACCCUGAUCCAGCGACGCCGCGUGAGUGAAGAAGUAUUUCGGUAUGUAAAGCUCUAUCAGCAGGGAAGAAAAUGACGGUACCUGACUAAGAAGCCCCGGCUAACUACGUGCCAGCAGCCGCGGUAAUACGUAGGGGGCAAGCGUUAUCCGGAUUUACUGGGUGUAAAGGGAGCGUAGACGGUGCAGCAAGUCUGAUGUGAAAGGUCGGGGCCCAACCCCGGGACUGCAUUGGAAACUGUGUAACUUGAGUGCAGGAGAGGUAAGCGGAAUUCCUAGUGUAGCGGUGAAAUGCGUAGAUAUUAGGAGGAACACCAGUGGCGAAGGCGGCUUGCUGGACUGUAACUGACGUUGAGGCUCGAAAGCGUGGGGAGCAAACAGGAUUAGAUACCCGUGUAAA
rnacentral:rRNA from 1 species